rnacentral:lncRNA from 1 species
CUUCAGUUUCAAAAUGGGAAAAAUGCGAGAGCUUAGUUUAGAGGAAAGGAAAAUUAUUAUUCACGUGAAUAAACAGAAUUUGUCACAAAGACGAAUUUCUGAAUUGACUGGAAACCCAUGUUCAGCAAUACAAAGUGUGCUAAAAAGAUAUCAGCAAGGAAACAUAACAAAUAAAUGCAGAUCUGGGAGACUGAAGAUUUUGAAUCAUCAUGAAGAGAACCUUAUUUGACAUCCCAGAGCAAAUCCUGCUGAAUCAGCUAAAGAAAUUUUUUUAAGUGUUACAGCAUUUUCUGGAAAAAAUGUAAGCAUGGAAACAGUUCAUCGAACAUUAUGAAAUAGU